CCAUCAUCGUCGUGUCCUCUCUUAUCUUCCUUCUUCAAAAUAUGUUUAGCAUAAGCAAUGAAUUUUAUUUUCAAAAUCCAUUUGUAAUAGUAGUACAUAAGAAAUCUAUUCUUGGAAACUGAAACAAGAAAAGCCGUUGGUAGCAUCCUGCGUCUCCAAUCGGCAAAUCAGCCACAUUAUUAGCAACCUGCAGUCAACUAAUAGUUGAAACGCAUAGGUGAAAAUUUUGAUUUUGUUUUUGUCUUUGUCCAACAACAUCGACAAACGACAAUAAUGUUUGUGCAUCAACUUCUAGUUCUACAAAAUGAUGGCUUAAGUUGGCAGCAAGUCCUGAAGCAUAAUACUCUGAUAAUUUCUGCAGCAAGAUAUGCUAGCCUUACUGCUAUUCUCAUGAAACCAAUCCACCCAUCCACCAUUGAAGUUCAAAAGCAAAAAAAGUGGGGACUGCAAGGGAAUGGAUUUAAAUGUAAAAAUGCAAUGCUUUUUAAUGAACUUACCUCCCGAACCAGGGGUUAAUUGGGCACACUAUUUUUCGGCCUUUUUCUCCAAUGUAAGUAUCUUCAAACUUAUUUUCCGCAGAUAAUCAGACUGGCUGAUGGCAGACACA
rnacentral:misc_RNA from 1 species